UCCCUGGUGGCUCAGACGGUAAAGCGUCUGCCUGCAGUGCAGGAACCCGGGUUCAAUUUCUGGGUCAGGAAG
rfam:Ovis aries breed Texel chromosome 4, whole genome shotgun sequence.